UCCGGCUUAUCACCGGCAGUUUCUUUAGAGUGCUCAACUAAAUGGUAGCAACUAAAGACGAGGGUUGCGCUCGUUGCGGGACUUAACCCAACAUCUCACGACACGAGCUGACGACAGCCAUGCAGCACCUGUCAAGCGGCCCGAAGGCUGCGAUAUCUCUACCGCAUUCCACUUGAUGUCAAACCCAGGUAAGGUUUUUCGCGUUGCAUCGAAUUAAACCACAUGCUCCACCGCUUGUGCGGGCCCCCGUCAAUUUCUUUGAGUUUUAACCUUGCGGCCGUACUCCCCAGGCGGGAUACUUAACGCGUUAGCUUCGGCACUGAAGGGGUCAAUACCUCCAACACCAAGUAUCCAUCGUUUACGGCGUGGACUAC
rnacentral:misc_RNA from 1 species